GUUACGGCUCCAGAUGCUCCGUGGUGAGGGCAGCAGAGAGGGGCUGAAUUAUCUGGGUUGGAGGUGGGGGUUUGGGGCUUGUUCUGCUUCCCAGCAGCCAGUUUUGCAGACUUGUUUUGUAGCAGUUUCUUUUAAGCCCUAGGGAAAGUGAGUUUUGCAGAAGGCGCUUGCACCUCUCAACUUCCAGAAGCACCCCUGGUCUGAGGUUUAUCCUUGCUGCUGAUUCACUGCUGCUUUUUAAAUUCGAGUUUAGAGGAUAAGAGGCAAAGAAUCAGAUGAAUGAGAGCAAAGAUGCUGUUGCUUUGCCUGAUGGGUCUUCUCCCAUCACUUCUUGGCUGCAUGAGGCACUGGAGGAAGCUGAUGGUGCAUGGUGUGACAGGUCAUCUGUCCAUCUCCUAUGGUGAGGAUCUCUUGUGGAUGUCUUGUAAGCAGGUUUUGGGCUGUGGGAGCCCUCUGCUGAGCCUGUUCCAUUCUGAAGGCAGCAGUUCUGUGAGUGCUUCUGCAUCAGCUGGGUCUCCUGAUUUUCUGAAAAGAAACUACUUCCUUCUCCUUUGCUUAUGAGGUUCUAAAAUUUCCCAUGGAUGAGACGAUCACAUCAACAUCCCUGCUCUGGUCCAGCAGUAGAAACAAAGUGCGGGCGACCAAAACCUUGGGAGAAGCUGGUCUGAGCUUUGAAGUUUUGAGCAAAUACGAGUCAGUCCUUGUGUCACACAAAGCGUGAAAAUAAAGAAGAAAGAACCAUGUGGGACAGAAACCAAGGUGGUGAUGGAGACAGCAGAGUGCAGGAAGGAGGGAGAAACACAAUCCACCUGAGUGGAAAUGUUCAACACCUCCUGGGAACCCCUCUGAAAGGCCCCCAGAUGUGGAAGUGCCACGAGUCGACUGGUCCUCAGUAUAUUCACCUGGCAUCCCUUGGGAAAAGAGCCGUGCAGACACCAACACAUCCGUACCCACCCAAAGGAUCUCCUACUGCUGGAAGAAGAGCUGUCAUUUCGGCUGCCUGAUCCUGGCUGCAGAAAGAAGCACUGAAGGCAUGAGGAAAUAUUCGUUGCAUGCAGUUUGCUCGCGCUGAACCGUAAGGAGUGGGGCAAAAUAAUUCACUGGUAUUUCUGGCAGGCUGAGCUCUAUUGCUGCCAGGCAGUUGGUUUAACCUGAAAAAGGGGCAGGAUGGAUUAAAUGCGGAGCAGAUUUCAUCAGAUUCACUCUGCAGUAAGGAGAGCGAGAGAAUGGGAUGUUUUUAUCUUGGCUUGAUCUUGCCUAGAAAUAAAGGGAUGCUUUAGAAGACUCUGAGUGACCAAGCAUGAGGAUUCCAGUGAGCCACGUGGGGUUGUGCAGCGUUUACCCAGUGAUGCAGAGAAUUUGGGAAGGAUUUGUGUAAUUUUGAGUCGAUAGAGCUUCUGAUUCUGGUGGAUGUGGUCUCAGGUUGGUGGGAUGGAGCAUCACCCCAGCUUGCAGGGAUGUAUUUUUCUUUGGGCAUCUCCUGACACGUCAGAUGUGGGGGCUUUCCUACACUUUGUGUCUGUUUUUCUUCUCGGCUUUCUCAACAAAAAUCUCCCUAAGAUCUGAUCUCCUUCCCAUGUCAGAUUGCCAAAAAUCAAAGUGAACUGCUGCAGUCUGUGUCCAGUGGGUGAUUCCCACUCCACGUGGGAGAUGGAGUUCAGCCCUCACUGUGAUGGGCUCCCAGGACUUGGUGGCCACAUCAGGGAACAGUGCUGGGUUUGGCUGUUUGCUUUUCCAAAGGUCAUGGGAAGGAGAUUGAGAAAUUGCUCCUAGGCAAAAGCCAGCUCUGAUUUGGCACAGGAUCCCAA